UACGUAGGCAGCAAGCGUUGUUCGGAGUUACUGGGCGUAAAGAGUGCGUAGGUGGUGCCCUAAGUCUGUUGUGAAAUCUCCCGGCUUAACUGGGAGGGUGCGGUGGGAACUGGGGUGCUUGAGUGUGGGAGAGGUAAGCGGAAUUCCUGGUGUAGCGGUGAAAUGCGCAGAUAUCAGGAGGAACACCGGUGGCGAAGGCGGGUCUCUGGGCCGAUACUGACGCUGAGGAGCGAAAGCGUGGGGAGCGAAUAGG
rnacentral:rRNA from 1 species